CCGAGUUUCCGAAGGCUGCCCACAUUCCUGCCCUCUGCCUCCCGCGCCCUGACAACCCAGCCGAGUUCGCUCCAACUCCAGCGGCGCAAGGGUCCUACCUUGACUGAAAAGGAAGAAGCAGAGGAAGAGCAAGUCUAGCUGGAAAGGUUUCAUUCCUCAGCGCAGCGGGGAGGCCACAGCUUUCAACAUGGAAAGAUUUGGAAGGGCUUCUCCAAUGCCAUCCAUGAUUAAGGCAGGAUAUUUUGAGUGAUCACUUCCUACCCCCAAGAAAACAGGUGCAAGACAUGCCCCAAUGCCACCAGGGAUAGUGUGAAGCCUGUUAUGAUUUGUUGUUCUCAAGACUGGAAGCCGGAUGCAUGGUGAAGAAUAACAAUGCAUUGGGUCCACUGAAAGAAUACUAAGGGUAGAACAAGACAUUGGAAAAGACAUCUUGAUUCCCACAACCUUUGUUCCUUUGUGGUGUGGGUGCAGAUUGUGUCACUGUGGUGAUCUGGGUCCUGACACUGUCUUGGGGAGCCACAGUGACACAGGACAAGAAGGGCAAGAGCACACGGUGGCUCUCAGCAGUGUCCUUGGAGGGAAGGAAGAGUGGAUAGGUGGCAUUUCUGAGGAAUGGAGGCUUUGGAGAAGGAAGCUCUCUUUGAGACCUGCAAACAUGCAAGACUCUGACAAGUUACCUGAGGUUGGACCCAGUCCCCUGGCUCUUGUCCCACCUUCUUGCUUCAGCUCUGGGACAUUUGGUCCUGGUUUGAUGGUUAUUGGCAUAGAUGUUAAAGGCCUCUGGGGGAGGGAGAAGUAGAAAGCUUUUUCUGAGCUGAAAGUAAGUGUGGGUUUGGCCUAUUGAUCUGAGCACAAUAGACAGUUUUCAUAAUUUGACGCCUGUGUUGUCAGACACACAAAGGCAUUUGCUCAAGCAUGAGCACAGUAAAUACAAUUUGGGAGUGUGUGAGUGGCAGGAGAGAGCCAAGGAGAGGGCAGUGGGUGAAAAUUGAGGUUCAGCGUUAGAAAAACUAGCUCUCAAGGUUUGGAACACUUUAUGACUAUAGCUAAUGACAGUGCCUUGUGUACUGAUAAAUUGCUAAUAGAAUUGACUUCAUUUGUUUUCAGUACAAAAAAUUGAUAAGUAUGUGAUGUAACACAUAAGUUAAUUAGCUUA